rnacentral:rRNA from 1 species
UGGGGAAUAUUGCACAAUGGGCGCAAGCCUGAUGCAGCCAUGCCGCGUGUAUGAAGAAGGCCUUCGGGUUGUAAAGUACUUUCAGCGGGGAGGAAGGCGUUAAGGUUAAUAACCUUGGCGAUUGACGUUACCCGCAGAAGAAGCACCGGCUAACUCCGUGCCAGCAGCCGCGGUAAUACGGAGGGUGCAAGCGUUAAUCGGAAUUACUGGGCGUAAAGCGCACGCAGGCGGUCUGUCAAGUCGGAUGUGAAAUCCCCGGGCUCAACCUGGGAACUGCAUUCGAAACUGGCAAGCUUGAGUCUCGUAGAGGGGGGUAGAAUUCCAGGUGUAGCGGUGAAAUGCGUAGAGAUCUGGAGGAAUACCGGUGGCGAAGGCGGCCCCCUGGACGAAGACUGACGCUCAGGUGCGAAAGCGUGGGGAGCAAACAGG